rnacentral:rRNA from 1 species
GAUGAACGCUGGCGGCGUGCCUAAUACAUGCAAGUCGAGCGAACGGACGAGAAGCUUGCUUCGUUGUUGAUAGCGGCGGACGGGUGAGUAACACGUGUAUAACCUCCUUAUAAGUCUGGUAUAAUUUCGGGAAAGCGGAUCUUACACGGGAUAAUAUCCUGAACCGUAUGGUGCAAAAGUGAAAGACGGUGUUGCUGUCACUUCUCGCGGGUUCUGGGCUGCAUUGGCUAGUUGGUAAGGUAACGGCUUACCAAGGCAACGAUGCAUAGCCGACCGGCGAGGGUGAUAGGCCGCACUGGAACGGGGACGCGGACCAGACGCCUACGGGAGGCAGCAGUAGGGAAUCUUCCGCAGUAGGCGAGAGCCUUACGGAACAACGCCACGUGAGUGAUGAAAGUCUUCGGAUCGUAAUGCUCUGUUAUUGGGGAAGAACAGAUGUGGAAGUAAACGUACACAUCUUGACGGUACCUAAUCAGAAAGCCACGGCUAACUACGUG